rnacentral:rRNA from 1 species
UACGGAAGGCAGCAGUGGGGAAUAUUGCACAAUGGGCGCAAGCCUGAUGCAGCCAUGCCGCGUGUAUGAAGAAGGCCUUCGGGUUGUAAAGUACUUUCAGUCGUGAGGAAGGUGUUAAGGUUAAUAACCUUAGCAAUUGACGUUAGCGACAGAAGAAGCACCGGCUAACUCCGUGCCAGCAGCCGCGGUAAUACGGAGGGUGCGAGCGUUAAUCGGAAUUACUGGGCGUAAAGGGCACGCAGGCGGUUAAUUAAGUUGGAUGUGAAAUCCCCGGGCUUAACCUGGGAAUGGCAUUCAAGACUGGUUAGCUAGAGUCUUGUAGAGGGGGUAGAAUUCCAUGUGUAGCGGUGAAAUGCGUAGAGAUGUGGAGGAAUACCGGUGGCGAAGGCGGCCCCUGGACAAAGACUGACGCUCAUGUGCGAAAGCGUGGGGAACAAACAGGGAUUAGAUACC